rnacentral:rRNA from 1 species
AUUGAACGCUGGCGGCAGGCCUAACACAUGCAAGUCGAGCGAGCGGCGGACGGGUGAGUAAUGUCUGGGAACCUGCCUGAUGGAGGGGGAUAACUACUGGAAACGGUAGCUAAUACCGCAUACCAUCAGCUGUGCCCAGAUGGGAUUAGCUGGUAGAGGGGGUAACGGCUCACCUAGGCGACGAUCCCUCGCUGGUCUGAGAGGAUGACCAGCAAAACGGGAACUGAGACACGGCCCGGAGUCCAACGGGAGGCACAAGUGGGGAUUAUUGCACAUGGGUGGAAAUCCUGAUGCAGCCCUGCGGCGGGGGUGAAGAGGGCCUUCGGUUUGUAAAGCAUGUUAAGCGGGGAGGCGUUACCCGCAGAGGAAGCAACGGCUAACUACGUGCCAGCAGCCGCGGUAAUUC